UUUUUUUUUAUUAUUAUUGUAUUAUGUUAUAUUGCUGUCUGCAUUUCCAGUGACCAGACCAAAAUUUUUCAAAUUUUAUAUUUGGGCGGGGGAUGUUAUAUACCUCUAUUUGGUAUUUCUGGUUACCGGAAAUGUAGGACAUAAUUUAUACUGUUUAUUGUAUUUUACGGGACUGUAUACCUUUUUUAUGUUUGUCGGCGGCGAACAGUUAGUGUCGUCUGUCACCCAUGUGUUUGUUAAA
rnacentral:lncRNA from 1 species